rnacentral:rRNA from 1 species
UAAGAGUUUGAUCCUGGCUCAGAUUGAACGCUGGCGGCAUGCUUUACACAUGCAAGUCGGACGGCAGCACAGGGAAGCUUGCUUCUCGGGUGGCGAGUGGCGAACGGGUGAGUAACAUAUCGGAACGUACCGGGUAGCGGGGGAUAACUGAUCGAAAGAUCAGCUAAUACCGCAUACGUCUUGAGAGGGAAAGCAGGGGACCUUCGGGCCUUGCGCUAUCCGAGCGGCCGAUAUCUGAUUAGCUGGUUGGCGGGGUAAAGGCCCACCAAGGCGACGAUCAGUAGCGGGUCUGAGAGGAUGAUCCGCCACACUGGGACUGAGACACGGCCCAGACUCCUACGGGAGGCAGCAGUGGGGAAUUUUGGACAAUGGGCGCAAGCCUGAUCCAGCCAUGCCGCGUGUCUGAAGAAGGCCUUCGGGUUGUAAAGGACUUUUGUCAGGGAAGAAAAGGCCGUUGCCAAUAUCGGCGGCCGAUGACGGUACCUGAAGAAUAAGCACCGGCUAACUACGUGCCAGCAGCCGCGGUAAUACGUAGGGUGCGAGCGUUAAUCGGAAUUACUGGGCGUAAAGCGGGCGCAGACGGUUACUUAAGCAGGAUGUGAAAUCCCCGGGCUCAACCCGGGAACUGCGUUCUGAACUGGGUGACUCGAGUGUGUCAGAGGGAGGUGGAAUUCCACGUGUAGCAGUGAAAUGCGUAGAGAUGUGGAGGAAUACCGAUGGCGAAGGCAGCCUCCUGGGAUAACACUGACGUUCAUGUCCGAAAGCGUGGGUAGCAAACAGGAUUAGAUACCCUGGUAGUCCACGCCCUAAACGAUGUCAAUUAGCUGUUGGGCAACUUGAUUGCUUGGUAGCGUAGCUAACGCGUGAAAUUGACCGCCUGGGGAGUACGGUCGCAAGAUUAAAACUCAAAGGAAUUGACGGGGACCCGCACAAGCGGUGGAUGAUGUGGAUUAAUUCGAUGCAACGCGAAGAACCUUACCUGGUUUUGACAUGUGCGGAAUCCUCCGGAGACGGAGGAGUGCCUUCGGGAGCCGUAACACAGGUGCUGCAUGGCUGUCGUCAGCUCGUGUCGUGAGAUGUUGGGUUAAGUCCCGCAACGAGCGCAACCCUUGUCAUUAGUUGCCAUCAUUCGGUUGGGCACUCUAAUGAGACUGCCGGUGACAAGCCGGAGGAAGGUGGGGAUGACGUCAAGUCCUCAUGGCCCUUAUGACCAGGGCUUCACACGUCAUACAAUGGUCGGUACAGAGGGUAGCCAAGCCGCGAGGCGGAGCCAAUCUCACAAAACCGAUCGUAGUCCGGAUUGCACUCUGCAACUCGAGUGCAUGAAGUCGGAAUCGCUAGUAAUCGCAGGUCAGCAUACUGCGGUGAAUACGUUCCCGGGUCUUGUACACACCGCCCGUCACACCAUGGGAGUGGGGGAUACCAGAAGUAGGUAGGGUAACCGCAAGGAGCCCGCUUACCACGGUAUGCUUCAUGACUGGGGUGAAGUCGUAACAAGGUAGCCGUAGGGGAACCUGCGGCUGGAUUACCUCCUUU